UGUAAGCGUAUACCAAAGUUGUUGCAGUUAAAACGCUCGUAGUCGGAAUUUGGCAGUUCCGGAUGUGUGCACGUCGUGUGCGCACUUCGCGGGGAUUGCUUUUGUGGUCUUGCGUAGGAUGAGGCACUUUUAUUAGUGAACGUCCUCACGCAACCACUUUUUACUGUGAGAAAAUCAGAGUGCUCAAAGCAGGCAUUUGCCGUGAAUGUAUAAGCAUGGAAUAAUAGAAUAGGACUUGGUUCUAUUUUGUUGGUUUGUUGGGACUGAGUAAUGAUUAAGAGGGACAGUUGGGGGCAUUUGUAUUUCGGUGCUAGAGGUGAAAUUCUUAGAUUACCGAAAGACAAACUGCUGCGAAAGCGUCUGCCAAGGAUGUUUUCAUUGA
rnacentral:rRNA from 1 species